rnacentral:sRNA from 1 species
UUAUAUUAAUUUAAUUAUAUUUGUUAAUAAUUGGUAAUACAAAAUUUUUGUGGUUUUUCGGUUUUGUUUUAAAAAUUAAAAAUAUUUUUUUAAUUUUUAGGGCAAUUUUUAACGAUAUAUUUUGUUUUAUCGCAUUUAAAAUAUUUGCCGUUUUUGGGAUUUUUACGGGAAUCUUUAUAUUAUAUAAUAUCAAAAUUUAUAAAUUUAUUAUAAAUAUUAUAAAUUAUAUUGUAAAUUUGGAAUAUUAUAUAACGGGGUUAUUAUUAUUCGCCGUUAUUUUUAUAAUAUAUUAAUUGGAAAUAUUAAUAUUUGCGUCCCGUAUUAAUUUGUCAAAUUGCGGUAAUAAAUACCCGUUAUUCGUUUUAUUUUUUUUAUUGGCGUUUAUAAAUCCGGUUGUCGAAUUUAAUAAUAAAUUCGACGUUUUUCAAAAAAAUUUCGGAUUAAUCGAAUUUGGACAUUUUAUUUUUUAUUUUUAAUUUUAAUUUUUAAUAAAAUUGGAAAAUUUUAAUUUUUUCGAUUAUAUUUAAUUUUAUUAUUAAAUUUUUAUAUUUGGUUAUAUAAAUAAAAAUUAAUUUAAUUUGUCGCAAAUUGGCCAAAUUCCGUUCGGUUUAUUAUUUUUUAUUAAAUUUUUGGAAUAAAAAACGGAAAAUGUAUUUAUAUUUUGCGAAAAUUGAAAGAAUAUUGGUAAUUUUUUAACGUCAUUUUUCGAAAGGUACGUUAAAUUAUUUCUGCAAUAAAAAUUCGAACCAAAAUAAAAUUUAUUUUUGGAAAAAAAUGGCCGCGAAUAUUAUUUUUUCCGUUUUAUUGGGGAAAAUUUCCAAAUAAAAUAUUUGGUAAAUGCGUAUUUAUAUAAAAUACCUUUUAAAUUAUCCAAAUAUAUUAUUAAAUAUAAUUAAAAAAUUAAAUUUAAAUUUUUCGCGCCCAUUAAAACAAAUUAAAAUAAUAUUAAUAUUGGUUCGAAAAACCCGGAAUUUUUUUUAAAAUUGGGUUACGCGGAAUAUUUAUUUAUAAAAUUCCUGGUUGGUUUAAAUAAUUUAUUUGCGGAAUUUGUUUUUUCGUUUUUAUUAUUAUUAUUAUAUUUAAUCCGAAUAGGAAUUUUUUAGGCCGUUUUACCGGUUAUAAUAAAAAUAUCAAAAAUAUUAUAUUUAAAAUUUU